rnacentral:rRNA from 1 species
UCCAGACUCCUACGGGAGGCAGCAGUGAGGAAUAUUGGUCAAUGGCCGAGAGGCUGAACCAGCCAAGCCGCGUGAGAGAUGAAGGUACAGAGUAUCGUAAACCUCUUUUGUCAGGGAACAAAGGCGGGGACGUGUCCCCGGAUGAGUGUACCUGAAGAAAAAGCAUCGGCUAACUCCGUGCCAGCAGCCGCGGUAAUACGGAGGGUGCGAGCGUUAAUCGGAAUUACUGGGCGUAAAGCGCUCGUAGGCGGUAUGUCAAGUCAAGGGUGAAAUCCCCGCGCUCAACGUGGGAACUGCCUUUGAAACUGGCAAACUGGAGUGUGUGAGAGGAUAGUGGAAUUCCAGGUGUAGGAGUGAAAUCCGUAGAUAUCUGGAGGAACAUCAGUGGCGAAGGCGACUAUCUGGCACAUAACUGACGCUGAGGAGCGAAAGCGUGGGUAGCAAACAGGAUUAGAUACCCCCGUAA